GCCUUUAUGGUGUAGUGGUCAGCACGCUCGACCGUAUUCCAGAGGCCCGUGGUUCGAGUCUCGGCGAGGGUA
rnacentral:tRNA from 1 species